CUACUCACCGAUUUGAAGAUUCAAUAUACUAAGAUCUUCAUAAACAAUGAAUGGCAUGAUUCAGUGAGUGGCAAGAAAUUUCCUGUCUUUAAUCCUGCAACUGAGGAGGAGCUCUGCCAGGUAGAAGAAGGAGAUAAGGAGGAUGUUGACAAGGCAGUGAAGGCCGCAAGACAGGCUUUUCAGAUUGGAUCUCCGUGGCGUACUAUGGAUGCUUCCGAGAGGGGACGACUAUUAUACAAGUUGGCUGAUUUAAUCGAAAGAGAUCGUCUGCUGCUGGCGACAAUGGAGUCAAUGAAUGGUGGAAAACUCUAUUCCAACGCAUAUCUGAAUGAUUUAGCAGGCUGCAUCAAAACAUUGCGCUACUGUGCAGGUUGGGCUGACAAGAUCCAGGGCCGUACAAUACCAAUUGAUGGAAAUUUUUUUACAUAUACAAGACAUGAACCUAUUGGUGUAUGUGGCCAAAUCAUUCCUGUAAGCUUUUCUCCUAUAUAAUUCUCAAUUUUAAAAAGAAGAGUUCUUAUUCUAUCUAAUGAUGAAGCUUUCUCUAAAACAGAUGGAUGCUUAUGUAUUUGUUAAAUGUGGAGUAAAUGUAAGAUUUGUUGAA
rnacentral:sRNA from 1 species